rnacentral:rRNA from 1 species
GUGAGGAAUAUUGGUCAAUGGACGAGAGUCUGAACCAGCCAAGUAGCGUGCAGGAUGACUGCCCUAUGGGUUGUAAACUGCUUUUAUGCGGGAAUAAAGUCAGGUACGUGUACCUGUUUGUAUGUACCGCAUGAAUAAGGACCGGCUAAUUCCGUGCCAGCAGCCGCGGUAAUACGGAAGGUCCGGGCGUUAUCCGGAUUUAUUGGGUUUAAAGGGAGCGCAGGCGGAAGAUUAAGCGUGACGUGAAAUGUCCCGGCUCAACCGUGGAACUGCGUCGCGAACUGGUUUUCUUGAGUGGGUACGACGUCAGCGGAAUUCGUGGUGUAGCGGUGAAAUGCUUAGAUAUCACGAAGAACCCCGAUUGCGAAGGCAGCUGACGAGUCCUUAACUGACGCUAAAGCUCGAAAGUGCGGGUAUCGAACAGGAUUAGAAACCCUAGUAGUCC